ACUUGGCAGGUGCUGACGGCCACCGUGACCCUUGAUCUUGCACCCAACUCUGAAGCCGAGACCUUGUUUUCUAUAUGUCUGCGAAGUGACAAGCAGUCCUGGAUAAAUAAUAAAUCAUGUACAAGGUUUCUGUGGCUGGAUAACUGGACUGAGCAGGAGUACUGGGGAGUGAGAGCGAUAUGCUGGGUAUUGGUGCAGUGAGGCAGCAAAAAGCCUGCUGAUCAAGCCUUCUCUUCACAUCCUGCCUCCUUGACUCCAUAACCCCGUUCAUCAGUUAUCCUCCUUACUGCCUCAUCUGCCUCCCUGGUUAUGUCUACACUGCAAAACCAAAACAAAACCCCCCACAGCAGCAAGUCUCAGUCUCUGAUCCAUUGUCUCAGGUUUGUGGUAUGGCACUCAGAAUAGCAAUGUAGACAUUCCCUCCCACUCAGGUUGGAGCUCAGGCGCUGAGACCCACCCUCCUCACCAGAUUUCAUAGCCUGAGUGGGAGCGUCUACACGACUACGUUUAGCAUGGUAGCACAAACCUCACAAGCCUGAGUCUGUAGACCUGGGCUCUAUGACUCUGCCAUGGUUUAUUUUGUUUGCUUGUUUGUUUGCAGUGUCAGUGUACCCCCUGGCUUCUCUGCCUGCUAGCUCAGACGCUGUUGCUCAUCCCAAAGUUACCUACAGUCUACACAAAUCUGAAGUCUCUUCACUCUUAGUGUUGUAAAUUAUUGACAUCAGAAAUUCAAAUCAUGAAGCUGAAGUUACAGAAAUAGUUAUUUACACUAAGAGAAGGAGUUCUCUGCAUGAAUAAUUUGAGUCUCUCCUUUUGUGUCUUUGAUAAACACUUGAGUAUUAGCUGGUUGAGAGGUACGCCUAGUUGUUUUUAUGUCUCCCCCAAGCCUUCCAGAGAUUUGCUAAGAUACACUAGCAAUAAAGUGGCUUUCCAUUCUGUCAAAUGUAGGAAGUCGGUCAGAGAAAGAAGCUGCUCCUUAGAGAGAUAGGUUGCGAUGAAACACAGGUUGAUGGUGUCAAGAUUGGAUAAUGAGACAUUAUCAGUGCAUCUCACUGUAAGUUCUCACAGUCAUUUUGAAAAUAUAAUAAAGCUUGUUAGCUAUCACGUUCAAAUAA